UACGUAGGGCGCAAGCGUUAUCCGGAAUUAUUGGGCGUAAAGAGCUCGUAGGCGGUUUGUCGCGUCUGCCGUGAAAGUCCGGGGGCUCAACUCCGGAUCUGCGGUGGGUACGGGCAGACUAGAGUGAUGUAGGGGGAGACUGGAAUUCCAGGUGUAGCGGUGAAAUGCGUAGAUAUCUGGAGGAAUACCGGUGGCGAAGGCGGCAUCCUGGACCGGCAUUGACGCUGAUGAGCGAAAGCUAGGGGAGCAAACGGGGAUUAAGAA
rnacentral:rRNA from 1 species